rnacentral:rRNA from 1 species
GACGUAGGAGGCGAGCGUUAUCCGGAUUCACUGGGCGUAAAGCGCAUGUAGGCGGCUGGAUCAGUCGUGUGUUAAAGCCCCCGGCUCAACUGGGGGAGGUCAUGCGAGACUAUUCGGCUUGAGGGCAGCAGAGGAGCGUGGAACUCCCGGUGUAGCGGUGGAAUGCGUAGAUAUCGGGAAGAACACCAGUGGCGAAGGCGACGCUCUGGGCUGUCACUGACGCUGAGGUGCGAAAGCGUGGGGAGCAAACAGG